rnacentral:rRNA from 1 species
GCCCGCCGCGCGCGGCGGGCGGGGCGGGGGCACGGGGGGACUCCUACGGGAGGCAGCAGUGAGGAAUAUUGGUCAAUGGGCGGAAGCCUGAACCAGCCAUGCCGCGUGCAGGAUGACGGCCCUACGGGUUGUAAACUGCUUUUCCCCGGGAAGAAUAAGCCCCUCGUGAGGGGUGAUGCCGUACCGCGAUAU